CUGUUAUAAGCAUAAUAGAGACACCCUGGUGCUUAAGGGCGAACAUGGAAUACAGGAAAAGGACAGCCAGUUCCAGUCCUGACUUGGACCAUGGACACAGCGGCAAUGCCCCUGCAGGGAAGAAGAGCGAGAGUAACAAAGUCAAGGUGAGAGAGCCACAGGAACACUGCGGCUAGAGAAAUGCAAGAAUUACCUGCAAGAGAUGGGCUAUAUCCCAUCUCCAUCCCUCAUUUACAUUUUAUAGGCCAAGCUCACAGAGGCAGAAACAGCAGAGAAAUAAAAGUCCCUCUGCUGUGUCCGCACGAAUUUAAUAUUUCAUUACCAGUGAAGAUUGAAUUUUACAUUUUCGGGUCUCACCUCUCCGUCUAAACUCAGGCCCUGUUCCAAGAUACACAGCUCGGUCGGGGAGUUCACAGCUUCAUUUGCAGACUGUCCUGAAGGCCUGGAACAGAUUCUCCUUGUUGCCAUUACAUUUUCAUUAGAGCUCCACCACUCAAGUUGGUCUAUUCCAGUUCCCUACUUCUUCUGUGACUGGUGUGGCUGACUUGAUUAUCAAAGCUACAUGAGGGCCAGGUGACUACUUCUGAGUAGGACUGGCAGGUGUCACGUCCAGACCAUGGCGACUAGUAGUAGCUGGUGCACCUCCUCCAUUUCUCUCCCCUGCUCCCACAGCGGCCCAGAGAUGGACUAGGCUCUCCCAGCCCACACUGAGCAAACUUUUCUUAUGUUCAACUCCAAGAUUUAAAGUGUUUAUUCUGGCAGCUAACUUUUUUUACCCUGAACAAUACAGGAUAUAUUUUGAAGUUGAAUCUAAUAGGACAUGCUAAGGGUAUGAAAGAAAGAAAAGAUUCCAAGAUGACUCAACACAUUUUUUUUUUUUUUAUUUUUGCUAGAUCACUAGGGUGGGUUAUGGUGUCAUUAUGCAGAUGGAGAACACUAAGUAGGAGUAUCAGGUUUGACAGUAGAAACCAAGAGUUUGAAUUUGGACCUGUUGAGUUUUCGUUGCUCAUUAAAUAUCCAGGAGAAUUGGCUAGCAGAUAAUUGGAUACGUAGUUUGGAGUUCAGGGGAGGGUCACAGCUGGCAAUACAGAUUUGGUAAUCAUCAUUCUUCAGAUUAGAAUUCAAGGCCAUAGGACUGGAAAAAACCAUUCAGGAAAUUAAUACAGGCAGACAAGUAUAUUAUUGAAUAUAAUGACAAAAUAGUA